rnacentral:rRNA from 1 species
UAAGGUCACGGCGAGACGAUCCGUUUAUCAUUACGAUAGGUGUUAAGUGGAAGUGCAGUAAUGUAUGCAGCUGAGGCAUACUAACAGACCCGAAGGAUUUGAAC